AGAUUGAACGCUGGCGGCAUGCCUUACACAUGCAAGUCGAACGGCAGCACGGGAGCAAUCCUGGUGGCGAGUGGCGAACGGGUGAGUAAUACAUCGGAACGUGCCCAAUCGUGGGGGAUAACGCAGCGAAAGCUGUGCUAAUACCGCAUAAGAUCUACGGAUGAAAGCAGGGGAUCGCAAGACCUUGCGCGAAUGGAGCGGCCGAUGGCAGAUUAGGUAGUUGGUGAGGUAAAGGCUCACCAAGCCUUCGAUCUGUAGCUGGUCUGAGAGGACGACCAGCCACACGUGGGACUGAGACACGGCCCAGACUCCGUACGGGA
rnacentral:rRNA from 1 species